UACGUAGGUGACAAGCGUUGUCCGGAUUUACCGGGCGUAAAGAGCGCGCAGGCGGUCGUUCAAGUCGAGUGUGAAAGCCCCCGGCUCAACUGGGGAGGGUCAUUCGAUACUGAUCGACUCGAAGGCAGGAGAGGGAAGUGGAAUUCCCGGUGUAGUGGUGAAAUGCGUAGAUAUCGGGAGGAACACCAGUGGCGAAGGCGACUUCCUGGCCUGUUCUUGACGCUGAGGCGCGAAAGCUAGGGGAGCAAACGGG
rnacentral:rRNA from 1 species